UACGUAGGGCGCAAGCGUUGUCCGGAAUUAUUGGGCGUAAAGAGCUCGUAGGUGGUUUGUCGCGUCCGCUGUGAAAACCCGAGGCUCAACCUCGGGCCUGCAGUGGGUACGGGCAGACUAGAGUGCGGUAGGGGGAGACUGGAAUUCCUGGUGUAGCGGUGGAAUGCGCAGAUAUCAGGAGGAACACCGAUGGCGAAGGCAGGUCUCUGGGCCGCAACUGACACUGAGGAGCGAAAGCAUAGGGGAGCGAACAGGG
rnacentral:rRNA from 1 species